GCGCUUGCCAGAAGAAGUACUGACGGCAGUGGUAGCAGAAGCAAAGGAGACCGGAUGUAGGUUGGUGCAGUGAUUCCACUGAUUCGUUUCAAGAGUGCCCGUGGCUUCCAGCGAACUUCCGAGUGCCGUGUUCGUUGUAGGCCUGUAACUCCCGCGUGUGCUGCAAGCCAUCCUCUUUUGUCACUUACAAUCGUGAUUGAUAUAUACAUAUAAUUUUUUUUUUUUUUUUACAAAUUUUUUCCACAAUUGUUUCUUUUUUUUUUUAAAUAAUAUUUUGUGCGAGUCAAAAAAAAAACUAUAUUUCGGAAAAAAGUUUGUUUAUUCUCAUACGCGCAAAGAGAGCGACAAUUUCCGGAAAAUGAUUUUUCGCCUUCCGGAUUUAACAGUUACAACAUAAACAAAAUACAAACAAAAGGAUAAUUUUGGGAAAAAAGACAAGCCAAUCAACGGCGAAAAUCAGAAAAAUGUUGGAACCAACAAAACAAGUGGAAGUCUUCACCGGAAAUGGUUGAUUCAUUACAAAAAGAAAAAAAUGGCACAGUGGGAAAUGUGAUAAUUUGAAAAAAAACAAUAAAAAUUCAAUAUCGACAAUUUUUUUUUUUUUUAUUAACAUGAUGGAUAAAUUUCCAUAAUAGAAAUCUCAACAAACAAAAAAAAAAAAAAAAAAAAAAAAAAAAACAA